UACGAAGGGGGCUAGCGUUGUUCGGAAUUACUGGGCGUAAAGCGCACGUAGGCGGCCUAUUAAGUCAGGGGUGAAAUCCCGGGGCUCAACCCCGGAACUGCCUUUGAUACUGGUAGUCUCGAGUCCGGAAGAGGUGAGUGGAAUUCCGAGUGUAGAGGUGAAAUUCGUAGAUAUUCGGAGGAACACCAGUGGCGAAGGCGGCUCACUGGUCCGGUACUGACGCUGAGGUGCGAAAGCGUGGGGAGCGAACAGG
rnacentral:rRNA from 1 species